CCGCCACUGGCUCACCCGGACAGAGCAGCAGCAUUCAAGCUGUAGGUCCGAGGUUCAAAUCCCUGGUGGUGGACUA
rnacentral:tRNA from 3 species